GCUGGGUGAAGCAAAUGGUGAAAACAAGAAAAGACAAGAGGUUUCAGGGUCUGCAGGGGACAGACAACAAGGAAACACUUAGAAAUCAAGAGCAAGCUGAGCGAUACAGAAAGGGAGCAGGGAUGAACCCGUGUUGCUCUGUAAACAUCUUGGAGCUCGGAAUUUUUCGGUGCCUUGUUGUGAUCUGAGGGAAUGAUCUACGUCAUGGUGCAAAGAAACCUUAAGAAAAUUCUAAUCUAGAACAAGCUCCCAGAGAUGUUGACUGCCUAACUUAACCAUGAACAUGAUUUAAAAAUGUUAAUAUAUGAACCAAGACCAUGGGGAACUCGUAUGCUGGGCAAUUGAAAUCUGCUAGAUUUGAGGAAGCUCUACACAACUCCAUAGAAGCCUCGCUCAGAUGUAGUACUGCAGUGCCACGGCCAAU
rnacentral:lncRNA from 1 species